rnacentral:rRNA from 1 species
UGGGAAUCUGCCCUUGGGUUCGGGAUAACAGUUGGAAACGACUGCUAAUACCGGAUGAUGUCUUCGGACCAAAGAUUUAUCGCCCAGGGAUGAGCCCGCGUCGGAUUAGCUAGUUGGUGGGGUAAAGGCCUACCAAGGCAACGAUCCGUAGCUGGUCUGAGAGGAUGAUCAGCCACACUGGGACUGAGACACGGCCCAGACUCCUACGGGAGGCAG